GUCUAUGGCCAUGCCACCCUGAGCAAGCCCGAUCCUGUCUGAUCUCGGAAGCUAAGCAGGGUCGGGCCUGGUUAGUACUUGGAUGGGAGACCACCUAGGAAGAUCAGGUGUUGUAGGCA
rnacentral:rRNA from 1 species